UACGAGGGGAGCUAGCGUUGUUCGGAAUUACUGGGCGUAAAGGGCGCGUAGGCGGUCCUAUAAGUCAGAUGUGAAAGCCCCGGGCUUAACCUGGGAGGUGCAUUUGAAACUGUAGAACUUGAGAUCGAGAGAGGAAAGUGGAAUUACGAGUGUAGAGGUGAAAUUCGUAGAUAUUCGUAAGAACACCAGUGGCGAAGGCGACUUUCUGGCUCGAUACUGACGCUAAGGCGCGAAAGCGUGGGGAGCAAAC
rnacentral:rRNA from 1 species